rnacentral:lncRNA from 1 species
UCUUCAUCAACUAGGCCUAUUCCCACAUCGCUCACUGCACGCACUAUCCAAACGCUAUGGUCCACUGAUGUUGCUUCAUCUGGGCAGUGUGCCAGCACUUAUUGUCUCGUCUGCUGAUGCUGCUUGCGAGAUCAUGAAAAAUCAGGACCUGAUUUUCUCAAACAGGCCAAAAUUGAGCGUUAUUGACAAAGUUAUAUAUGGCUCUAAGGACAUAGCUUUUGCUCCUUAUGGUGAGUACUGGAGGCAGGUGAGAAGUAUAUGUGUGCUUCAUCUUUUGAGUAAUAAGAGGGUUCAAUCCUUUCGUCGCAUACGAGAAGAAGAAAUGUCCCUUAUGAUCGAGAAAAUUAGACAUUCUUCUUCAUCUUCGAUAAACUUGAGCAAUAUACUGGUGACGCUUACUAAUGAUAUUAUAUCUCGAGUGGCCCUGGGGAGGAAAUAUAGUGAUGGUGAAGCAGAAGGAAGCACAAAAUUUGAGUUAAUGUUGAAGGAACUGGCAGAGUUAUUAGGUACUUUUAAUCCAGGGGAUUACAUUCCAAGGCUUAACUGGAUUAAGCGUGUUACAGGUUUCGAAGCAAGAGUUGAGAAAUUGGCUAGACGGUUUGAUGAAUUUUUUGAAGGUGUAGUUGAAGAGCACCGAAAUAGAAAGAAAGGAGAGACGAAUCUGAAGGACAGCAGCCACGAGGCAGAUCUUGUGGACAUAUUGCUCGAAGCUCAGAGAGAAAACAUGGCUGUUUCCCCUAUUGAAAAUGAUACAAUCAAAGCUGUCAUUUUUGUAAGAAUCCCUCAGUCUCUUCCUCACUGCGUUUUCUCAUGUGUCUGUAUUAGAUGUGAAAACUAUUCACUUGCAAUUUGUUUUAAAUCAUUCUUUAAAGUUGAGAACAAUUUGGUUAACAUUUAGUAUUUCCUUGUUGAAAGUAGCAUUGAAAGAACCUGAAAAACUAUUAAACUUCAUCUUGAUACCAUAAAUCAAUCAAGGGAUUGAGAUGGGAUGAAGUGGAUAGAUUUUUAUUCAUUUUUUACUUGUGUUUCUUUCACAAAGAAUUAGAAAGGUUCAUCGAUGUGUGUUCAAAACCACUAAAGCAUAUUUACAGAUGAAAGAUAUCGUUUAUUACAGGAUAUUUUUGCUGCUGGGACGGAUACAAUUUAUACUUCUUUGGAGUGGACAAUGGCAGAGCUUCUAAGGCACCCAAAAACGAUGGAGAAAUUGCAGAAUGAGGUGAGACAAAUAGCUGGAAGCAAACUAGAUAUAACGGAAGAUGAUUUAGAGAAACUUUCCUACUUAAAGGCAGUGAUGAAAGAGAGCCUAAGACUACAUCCUCCGCUUCCUUUGCUGCUCCCUCGAGAAUCUACCCAAGAUAGUUCAAUAUCAGGCUAUGAUAUUGCACGUGGAACCCGAGUAUUAAUCAAUUCUUGGGCAAUUGGAAGAGACCCAUUGGUGUGGGAAAAUCCUAAUGAUUUUCAGCCAGAAAGGUUUUUGAACACAGAAAUGGACUUUAGAGGGCUUAAUUUUGAGUACAUUCCAUUUGGUGCUGGUCGGAGAGGCUGUCCUGGCAUUACAUUUGCCAUAGCUGUUGACGAGCUUGCAUUAGCAAAAUUGAUACUUAAUUUUGACUUUGCCUUGCCAUUUGGAUUAACAGAAAAAGAUUUCGAUAUGAGUGAAGCCCCUGGAAACACUAUCACGAAAAAGUUUCCUCUAGUUGUGACCAUCAGUCCCCCUUCUUGAUGGUGCCUACUGAGAGUAUCAUCACCUCUACUCUUCAAAGUUCCCUCUUAAAAAGUAAAAUAUGUAGUUAUCAUGUUUGUAAUAAAAUCUCGAACGUAUUUGCAAUAGAAAAUUUGAAAUUAUUCACGGAUUGUCAUGUUGUCUUCAUUUAAAGGAAUUGAAAGUAAUUGGAAUGAAGGUUAUCAACAUGUAUUAUCAUAGUGGCACCUCAAAAUUUGAUAGAUAUGAAGAUGUCUUUUAUAUUUAUAUUUUCAAGUUGGUCACUCAACUUAAUAUUGUUUCAAUUUGGUACAAAAUGUUUGUUUUUUAUUUAUUAAAUUUUGUUUGGUUCAACUAAAAAAAUUGAUUAAAAUUUAGCCAUUAUCUAGGCGCAAUUCUUUGGAAAAUUAUAACAAUAAAGUUAUUUGUACAUCUGGGAUGUGAGAGAAGAAGUCAAAAAUUACGACUUGAAUAGUAAAAUAACGGUCAAAAAAUCAAUUUUUUGGGACAAAAAAUCUCUACCAAACGGGGCCUAUAAUUUCAGCUGUAUGUCUGCCUAAUUAAAUAGUUGAGCAUAUCUUGCCGAAUUCAUUCUGGGAUUAAGAAAAAUGAUUUCUUCUUCCCAUUUGAUAGUUCCUCUUGUUUCCUUCAUUUUGUUCAUCAUUUUCCUCUUCAAAUGGUACAGCAAUCCUUCUUCAAAAGCCUUGAAAAGAUUGCCGCCAUCUCCACCAAAGCUUCCCUUGAUUGGAAAUCUUCAUCAACUAGGCCUAUUCCCACAUCGCUCACUGCACGCACUAUCCAAACGCUAUGGUCCACUGAUGUUGCUUCAUCUGGGCAGUGUGCCAGCACUUAUUGUCUCGUCUGCUGAUGCUGCUUGCGAGAUCAUGAAAAAUCAGGACCUGAUUUUCUCAAACAGGCCAAAAUUGAGCGUUAUUGACAAAGUUAUAUAUGGCUCUAAGGACAUAGCUUUUGCUCCUUAUGGUGAGUACUGGAGGCAGGUGAGAAGUAUAUGUGUGCUUCAUCUUUUGAGUAAUAAGAGGGUUCAAUCC